AAAAGAAGUACAAUCGCCAAGUUGUUCUGGGAAAUUAGAUUAAGAGAAACGAGCACAAGUU
rnacentral:sRNA from 1 species